GUACUAGGAUUUACUCCGAAAGCGAAGAAACUUACAACAAAGAGUCCCUCCCGACUGUUUACCAAAAACACAGCACUCUGCUAACUCGUAAGAGGAUGUAUAGGGUGUGACGCCUGCCCGGUGCUCGAAGGUUAAUUGAUGGGGUUAGCAUUAGCGAAGCUCUUGAUCGAAGCCCGAGUAAACGGCGGCCGUAACUAUAACGGUCCUAAGGUAGCGAAAUUCCUUGUCGGUUAAAUACCGACCUGCAUGAAUGGCGUAACGAGAUGGGAGCUGUCUCAAAGAGGGAUCCAGUGAAAUUGUAGUGGAGGUGAAAAUUCCUCCUACCCGCGGCAAGACGGAAAGACCCCGUGGACCUUUACUACAGCUUGACACUGCUAUUUGGAUAAGAAUGUGCAGGAUAGGUGGGAGGCUUUGAGUAUAUGACGCCAGUUGUAUAGGAGCCAUUGUUGAGAUACCACUCUUUCUUAUUUGGGUAGCUAACCAGCUUGAGUUAUCCUCAAGUGGGACAAUGUCUGGUGGGUAGUUUGACUGGGGCGGUCGCCUCCCAAAUAAUAACGGAGGCUUACAAAGGUUGGCUCAGAACGGUUGGAAAUCGUUCAUAGAGUAUAAAGGUAUAAGCCAGCUUAACUGCAAGACAUACAAGUCAAGCAGAGACGAAAGUCGGUCUUAGUGAUCCGGUGGUUCUGUGUGGAAGGGCCAUCGCUCAAAGGAUAAAAGGUACCCCGGGGAUAACAGGCUGAUCUCCCCCAAGAGCUCACAUCGACGGGGAGGUUUGGCACCUCGAUGUCGGCUCAUCGCAUCCUGGGGCUGGAGCAGGUCCCAAGGGUAUGGCUGUUCGCCAUUUAAAGCGGUACGCGAGCUGGGUUCAGAACGUCGUGAGACAGUUCGGUCCCUAUCUGCCGUGGGCGUAAGAAGAUUGAAGAGAUUUGACCCUAGUACGAGAGGACCGGGUUGAACAAACCACUGGUGUAGCUGUUGUUCUGCCAAGAGCAUCGCAGCGUAGCUAAGUUUGGAAAGGAUAAACGCUGAAAGCAUCUAAGCGUGAAGCCAACUCUAAGAUGAAUCUUCUCUAAGCUCUCUAGAAGACUACUAGUUUGAUAGGCUGGGUGUGUAAUGGAUGAAAGUCCUUUAGCUGACCAGUACUAAUAGAGCGUUUGGCUUAUCUUUAAUAAAGCAU
rnacentral:rRNA from 1 species